rnacentral:lncRNA from 1 species
ACCCUAGCCCCCCUUUGCUUCUCUCCUUGGCCGACCCUAAAUCCCUCCCCUUGAUCGCCGAUCCGCCACCAUAAACGGCGACCAGUGUGUUCGAGCCUUGAGGGUUGUUUUUUCAGCCUUGAGAUCCACUUUCAACCUCGAUUUCAACGAAGCAAAAGGAAACCCAUGGCAUAUUUGUAAGGUAAGGCUUCUUUUUUUUUUUCAAAUGCAAUAAUGAAAGACCAAAGGAAAUAAAUCGAAAGAAAAAUCAAAAACUUAGGGAAACUUGAAUCAGAAAUCACUUUUAAAAAUUUUGAUUGCUUUCUUUGUAUUCAAUAUGUGUUCGUAAGGAAAAUACAAGUCUCUGAUAUGGCUUUAUAUAGCCGAAUAAAAAUAGAAUUACAAAAGCUAUUUUUCCUUUUGUUUGUUAUUUCUCUGUUGUUGCUGUGCUGUUAUUUUUCUUCUCACAUGUUCGACUGAUGUGGAGAUGGCCGUAUGGAGGAGAAGACCGUGACUUGGAGACCGAUUCCAUGGCAUGCGAGGCUGCGACGCAUCCUAGGGUUUCAAUUCCUGAAACCACAAUCUGGAUCAUUUGGGCUUAUUUUAGGAUUGGGCCGGUUUUAAGAUUGGGCCAUUGGGCCUUGUGGAUUAGGUUACUGGGUUAUUAGGCCAUUCGGGUUAGGUUUAUUGGGUUAUUUUAAUUUGAUAUUUAGUUGGGCUUAUUGUAAUUGAUGGACAUUGGACUAAUAAAUUUGGACUUUUAUUGGUUUUGUUUUAAUUUAUUUUUGGUUUAUUUAUUUUUUUGAUAAUUUAUGGGCCCGGGCAAAAUGGGCCUUUUACAA